rnacentral:sRNA from 1 species
AGCAUUUGCUGUUGCUUUCACACGUGCACUUGGGAGGAUUUAGGAUUUUAAUUCCUGUAUUGAAGCAAGUGACACACUGAAGUUGUGAGAAAUUGUGUGCACUGGGGGAGGCUGUCCUGUGGUCGUAACGUGUCUGUCCUGUUCCCAACAGGGCUCCACGUGUUCCCCACGUUUGUGGCGUACGAGCUCACGGUGCUGGUGUUCCUCACCUUGUCAGUGGUGGUGAUGAAGUUUCUCCUGGCGGCGCUAGUCCUGUCUCUCAUUCUGCCGAGGAGCAGCCAGUACAUCAAGUGGAUCGUCUCUGCGGGGCUUGCCCAGGUCAGCGAGUUUUCCUUUGUCCUGGGGAGCCGGGCGCGAAGAGCGGGCGUCAUCUCUCGGGAGGUGUACCUCCUUAUACUGAGUGUGACCACGCUCAGCCUCUUGCUCGCCCCGGUGCUGUGGAGAGCUGCAAUCUCAAGGUGUGUGCCCAGACCAGAGAGACGGUCCAGCCUCUGACAGCACAGAGAUGAUGGACAAUGGAAGGGAAGCGUCUGUGGGGAGUGAGCGCUUAGAUGGCCGGCAGCUGCUCCUUCUGGGAAGCUCAUGCCUUGGCAAC